rnacentral:lncRNA from 1 species
CUCUCCCUUAUCUCUAGGACUUUCUGGUCCCUUCUUCUCUGAUGAAGAUCAUCGCGUCUCCGGCCCUACUCCUCCCUAACUUCUCCGACCUCUAGUAGCCGUGGAAUCCUUGUAUCGUUGUUUUCUCUCUAAAGCUUGAAGUCCAGCAGCUUCCGCCAUGAAAGACGGUCACUGAAGCUUCACUUGGGUCUGUUUCCGGCUUUUCUCAUAUGGUUUUUGUCCGAUGAUGCCUUUUAUGGCAUUAUAUACGAGUUUCACGGCCAGGUUUCUCAUUCCCUAAUUUAUUUUGCAAACCCUAAUUUUUUUCCUAAAUCUGUUUGGUCUCUGUCUUUAAACAAUCUUUCUUUUGGUUUAACCUUUGUCUUCUACACUUCCUAUUACUUGAUAUCUUUGAUUAUUCAAGUUUUUUCCUAAAUCUGUUUGGUCUCUGUCUUUAAACAAUCUUUCUUUUGGUUUAACCUUUGUCUUCUACACUUCCUAUUACUUGAUAUCUUUGAUUAUUCAAGUUUCAAAUGUUUUGGUUCCUCUUCUGAAAGUAGGGUUCUUAACCCCUUUCGAAAACACUUUACUUUUCUGAAUUUGAUUACUAAUGCGUAACGCUCAAUAUUACUUCUAAAAUUUUAUUUAAGUCUGAUGAAACACUAGCUCUAUAAGUUUGUAUCUGUAUUAUCUGCUUGUUUGCGUGUUCCUCUGAAUUCUUGUUUGAGUUCCCC